CUUUAAAUUUUAAAAUAAUCUAUAUAUUCUUCUAAAUUUUUAAUACCUUAAAACGUUUGGUUCGGAGUUAAGGAAAAACUAGUUAUUCCAGAAAUAGGGUUAAGUUCAGGUUAAGGUCGGGUUAGAGUAUUUUUGUGUUUGGUUGGCGGGUCGAACAGGAUAGUAAAAAAUAGUGUUUGGUUGGAGUAGUUGGGAUAAGAAGGAUAGUAGAUUAUUAUGAAUAGAAAAUAAUGUUUAAUUGGGGUUUAGUGGGGUUAGAUGGGGUUAGCUAACCCCAUCCAAAAUGGGCUAUCCCGGAUUAGGUGGGAUUAGCUAACUCCACCUAUUUUUUAGGGUGUUUGAGAAUAAUAUGGGAAUUAAGGGGUUAUUCCACCCCUUAAUUCCCAACCAAACAAAGGUUAGAAAAAUAUUUCUCCAUUAACUUUCUGUCCCUCAUAAGUUAAAACUCUUUUUU
rnacentral:lncRNA from 1 species